AAAAAGAAAAAAAAAAAGAAGAAAGAAAAACUUCGUGAAACAGAGAAACCCAGAAAACGAUCACUAACUUUUGCCCUUCACCACCGCACCAUCUUCCGGCCUCCCAACUGCCAUUCCGCCACUGCCUGACAACUCGUUGGCCUGUGGCGAAUCUAAAGCUACUUUUCCGGUCGCCUAAAGUUGGCCGGAUACCAAGAUUUGACUGGGUCAAGUGUCGACCUGAACUUCAACCCCCCGGAAUUUCAAUCUUUCCGGCCAUCUGACCUUUCCAAUCCCUUCUCCGACCACCGAUCUUCCAUUUCCCGUUGUCAAAACCGCCAUCCGACUAACCAGUUGCAAGAUUUUGUUGGGUUGGGUUACAAACCCAAUGGGUAACAAGGAAGAGCUCCCUAAUAGCUUUGGUGAGCUUGACCACUCUUGAUUCUAAUACUACUUGGAUCACACAAGAGGAGUUUCAGACUUUAGAUCCUUCUCUCUUGGAUGCUUAUUUGCAAAUCAACUCUAUAAAGUCAAGUUCUUUUCGAUUAAAGGGGAAUGAUGUAUAAUAUAUUCCUAAAGAUUUUAGCAGUA
rnacentral:misc_RNA from 1 species